UGCACCCGGAAGGAGAUCAUGGGACGGGAAGUGGGCAGACAAUAUAGGACCAUGCAUGAAAGUAGCACUAUCCAUUCACAGAUUGUUUGUGUAUAAGCUAAUCCAAUCAUGCGGAGACGCGUGUGUUAAUCAAGGGUAUAAGAAGCGCGCGUAAGAUCAAGCACCGGCCGGUCAGCCCUGUAACAUCAAUAAAGAAACUUGCUUCCACAUCACCGUGUCGUGACUCAACAGCGACAUCUGGUGACCCCGACGUGAUAUAGCGAGCGAUUUUCUGAGAGUUUUAAUUUAGGGGUUCCCCGAGGUGGCACAGCCACUAUAAAAGAGUUUUCGGCAAAAAUAGCCAAGAGGAGCAGCGAGAGAAGCUGCUAAAAGAGUUUUCGGCAAAAGUAGCCAAGAGGAGCGGCGAGAGAAGCUGCUCAAAGAGUUUUCGGCAAAAGUAGCCAAGAGGAGCGGCGAGAGAAGCUGCUUAAUUCCGGAUCCGGGACUUUUAAGAAGCCACCGAGUGCAGAUGAAGGACCUCGGUGGUACCCUGCUCGUUGUGUUCGCCCUGCUGUGGAUAAGCCACGGAGGCCACAUGUGGAGAAUCAAACAGCUGGAGAUGAGUGUGAUGGAUAGCCCUUGCUAACAUCAAAGAACUGCCAUAACAACUGGAGUAUAAGUCGUAUAUCGGAACCACAGACUAGAGCUGUUAGGAUCAGUAGAAACGGAGUAUAAGUCACUGUUUGUAUACUUUUCAGAUGCACCUACAAUAUUGCUCAGCGUGGUCAAAUAUUGAUGCUGCUUUGCUUCCCUG